rnacentral:rRNA from 1 species
CGAACGGAGUUCUUGAGGAAUGCGGCUUCGGCCAAAUGACUUUUGAACUUAGUGGCGGACGGGUGAGUAACGCGUGAGCAACCUGCCUUUCAGAGGGGGAUAACAUUUGGAAACAGAUGCUAAUACCGCAUAAGAUUACAGUACCGCAUGAUACAGUGAUCAAAGGAGCAAUCCGCUGAAAGAUGGGCUCGCGUCCGAUUAGAUAGUUGGUGAGGUAACGGCUCACCAAGUCGACGAUCGGUAGCCGGACUGAGAGGUUGAACGGCCACAUUGGGACUGAGACACGGCCCAGACUCCUACGGGAGGCAGCAGUGGGGAAUAUUGCACAAUGGGCGAAAGCCUGAUGCAGCAACGCCGCGUGAGGGAAGACGGUUUUCGGAUUGUAAACCUCUGUUUUCGGUGACGAACAAAUGACGGUAACCGAGUAGGAAGCCACGGCUAACUACGUGCCAGCAGCCGCGGUAAUACGUAGGUGGCAAGCGUUAUCCGGAAUUACUGGGUGUAAAGGGAGCGCA